rnacentral:rRNA from 1 species
CCUACGGGAGGCAGCAGUGGGGAAUAUUGCACAAUGGGGGAAACCCUGAUGCAGCCAUGCCGCGUGUGUGAAGAAGGCCUACGGGUUGUAAAGCACUUUCAGUUGUGAGGAAAGUUUAGUAGUUAAUACCUGCUGGAUGUGACGUUAGCAACAGAAGAAGCACCGGCUAACUCCGUGCCAGCAGCCGCGGUAAUACGGAGGGUGCGAGCGUUAAUCGGAAUUACUGGGCGUAAAGCGCACGCAGGCGGUCUGUUAAGCUAGAUGUGAAAGCCCCGCGCUCAACGUGGGAGGGUCAUUUAGAACUGGCAGACUAGAGUCUUGGAGAGGGGAGUGGAAUUCCAGGUGUAGCGGUGAAAUGCGUAGAGAUCUGGAGGAACAUCAAUGGCGAAGGCAACUCCCUGGCCAAAGACUGACGCUCAUGUGCGAAAGUGUGGGUAGCGAACAGGAUUAGAUACCCUGGUAGUCCACACCGUAAACGCUGUCUACUAGCUGUUUGUGAAUUUAAUUCGUGAGUAGCGAAGCUAACGCGAUAAGUAGACCGCCUGGGGAGUACGGCCGCAAGGUUAAAACUCAAAGGAAUUGACGG